AAAAAAGUGUUUUCAAGUGUAAUAUUUCUGUAAAGGGACAGAAAAGUGGACUUUUCUGUAGAAUGACCCAUUCAUUGUAAAAUGAAGUAAAUAUUAAAAAUGAACAACUUUCAUGUUAGCCUAUGGGAAAAAAUAAUGGAGUAACUUCAACCUACUAACUAAUUAAAGAUGUCAUCAGAUCAUGUGUGCUUUCAGCAGUUAUCAUUUUAAACAUCAAAAUCAUGAUGCCCCCCCAUGUAGGCUACUGAAUAUAAGAUAGGGUGAAUUCAGACUGAAUGGGACAUUUUAUCCAAGUCAUCUCAAUGGUAAAAAGUGUCCCAAACACCCUGAACUCACCCUAUACAAUUAUUAUGUAUUCACAUGCAUGAAGAAAAUGUAAUCCCAUGGAGCUCUAAAAUAAUGUUAUUGACUUCAACUGAUGAAUGCAGCCAAAGAAAAGAUGAAGAAUGGAAAAGCAUUUUGCUGGCAAAGAAACUGGAAAAUAACUCAGGUAAGACAAUUCCUAUACCCAUAAAUACCUGUCAAACAUGGUUUUAUUAAAGAAGAGUUACUAAAAAAAAAAUUACUUUACUUUAAGAAAGGUAUAGCAUGUGGCAAAAAGUGUAAUAUAGCCACACUGAGAUACAAGCAAGUGACGAUCGAGUGACGUCAUUCUUUAGGUUACGCGCAUGUAUCCAUGGCAACGCUCAGCUGCGUCGAGAGUUAACGGUCCUGCUGGUGAUUUUCUCAGAUGAGGCCUUGAGUUUUCUCUUUCGUCGGUCGAAAAGGUUAGAAGCCAUCGAAAAAACUGCCAUCGGACUACCACAGCUGUCAACGAGAGACGCGCGUGCACAGCUGCAUAACACACACACACACACACACACACACACACACGGAAAGAGCACAACAAUUAUGAAACUGAUAAUUUAUUAUAAAUAAAUAAAUGUAUUUUUCUCCUUA